rnacentral:rRNA from 1 species
GACGGAGGAUGCAAGUGUUAUCCGGAAUCACUGGGCGUAAAGCGUCUGUAGGUGGUUUAAAAAAGUCUACUGUUAAAGCUUGAAGCUUAACUUCAAAAAAUGCCGUAGAAACUUUUAAACUUGAGUAUGGUAGGGGGUAGAGGGAAUUUCCAGUGGAGCGGUGAAAUGCGUAGAUCUUGGAAAGACCACCAAUGGCGAAGGCACUCUACUGGGCCAUUACUGACACUAAGAGACGAAAGCUAGGGGAGCAAAUGGG